rnacentral:piRNA from 1 species
UGGAGAUUGGAGGUGAUCUAUCAUAAGAGGU